rnacentral:rRNA from 1 species
UACAGAGGGGGCAAGCGUUAUUCGGAAUUAUUGGGCGUAAAGCGCGCGUAGGUGGCCUCAUAAGUCCGUUGUGAAAGUCAAAGGCUCAACCUUUGAAAGCCGAUGGAUACUGUGAGACUAGAGUACGGAAGAGGCGAGUGGAAUUCCUGGUGUAGCGGUGGAAUGCGCAGAUAUCAGGAGGAACACCAAUAGCGAAGGCAGCUCGCUGGGACGUUACUGACACUGAGGCGCGAAAGCGUGGGGAGCGAACAGG